AUUGAACGCUGGCGGCAUGCCUUACACAUGCAAGUCGAACGGCAGCACGGGUGCUUGCACCUGGUGGCGAGUGGCGAACGGGUGAGUAAUACAUCGGAACGUACCUUAUCGUGGGGAUAACGCAGCGAAAGCUGUGCUAAUACCGCAUACGCCCUGAAGGGGAAAGCGGGGGAUCGAAAGACCUCGCGCGACUAGAGCGGCCGAUGCCUGAUUAGCUUGUUGGUGGGGUAAAAGCCCACCAAGGCGACGAUCAGUAGCUGGUCUGAGAGGACGAUCAGCCACACUGGGACUGAGACACGGCCCAGACUCCUACGGGAGGCAGCAGUGGGGAAUUUUGGACAAUGGGGGCAACCCUGAUCCAGCAAUGCCGCGUGAGUGAAGAAGGCCUUCGGGUUGUAAAGCUCUUUUGUCAGGGAAGAAACACCGGCUCUAACACAGUCCGGGAAUGACGGUACCUGAAGAAUAAGCACCGGCUAACUACGUGCCAGCCGCCGCAGUAA
rnacentral:rRNA from 1 species